rnacentral:rRNA from 1 species
UACGGGGGGGGCAAGCGUUGUUCGGAAUUACUGGGCGUAAAGGGUUUGUAGGUGGCCAACUAAGUCAGACGUGAAAUCCCUCAGCUUAACUGGGGAACUGUGUCUGAGACUGGAUGGCUCGAGUGCAGGAGAGGAGCGCGGAAUUCCCGGUGUAGCGGUGAAAUGCGUAGAGAUCGGGAGGAAGGCCGGUGGCGAAGGCGGCGCUCUGGAACGGCCCUGACACUGAGGCUCGAAAGCGUGGGGAGCAAACAGG